GGUUCCGUAGCUCAAUUGGAUAGAGCAUUUGACUACGAAUCAAAAGGUUUCAGGUUCGACUCCUGACGGAAUCA
rnacentral:tRNA from 1 species